rnacentral:rRNA from 1 species
CCGACGGUGAGGGGCGAAAGCUGGGGGCACGAACCGGAUUAGAUACCCGGGUAGUCCCAGCCGUAAACGAUGCUCGCUAGGUGUCAGGCAUGGCGCGACCGUGUCUGGUGCCGCAGGGAAGCCGUGAAGCGAGCCACCUGGGAAGUACGGCCGCAAGGCUGAAACUUAAAGGAAUUGGCGGGGGAGCACAACAACGGGUGGAGCCUGCGGUUUAAUUGGACUCAACGCCGGACAACUCACCGGGGGCGACAGCAAUAUGUAGGCCAAGCUGAAGACUUUGCCUGAAUCGCUGAGAGGAGGUGCAUGGCCGUCGCCAGUUCGUACUGUGAAGCAUCCUGUUAAGUC